CAGUAGCCGCGGGAAAACGUAGGGUGCAAGCGUUAAUCGGAAUUACUGGGCGUAAAGCGUGCGCAGGCGGUCCGCUAAGACAGAUGUGAAAUCCCCGGGCUUAACCUGGGAACUGCAUUUGUGACUGGCGAGCUAGAGUAUAGCCGAGGGGGGUAGAAUUCCACGUGUAGCAGUGAAAUGCGUAGAGAUGUGGAGGAAUACCGAUGGCGAAGGCAGCCCCCUGGGCCAAUACUGACGCUCAUGCACGAAAGCGUGGGGAGCAAACAGGAUUAGAUACCCCCGUAGUCCCUGUCUCUUAUAC
rnacentral:rRNA from 1 species